GAUGAAGAACGCAGCGAAAUGCGAUAAGUAAUGUGAAUUGCAGAAUUCAGUGAAUCAUCGAAUCUUUGAACGCACAUUGCGCCCGCCAGUAUUCGGGCGGGCAUGCCUGUUCGAGCGUCAUUACAACCCUCAGGCCCCCGGGCCUGGCGUUGGGGAUCGGCGGAGCCCCCCGUGGGCACACGCCGUCCCCCAAAUGCAGUGGCGGUCCCGCCGCAGCUUCCAUCGCGUAGUAGCUAACACCUCGCGACUGGAGAGCGGCGCGGCCACGCCGUAAAACACCCAACUCUUCUGAAGUUGACCUCGAAUCAGGUAGGAAUACCCGCUGAACUUAAGCAUAUCAAUAAGCGGAGGA
rnacentral:misc_RNA from 1 species